UAAAUGAGGGAUUUCUUGCAGAGAACAUGCGUGAUUUUCGGGUUAAACGGGGGAUUUCUGCAAAAAAAAAAAAAAAAACAUGAUUCUCAGGUAAAAUUUGGUGUAGUUGAAGAGAAAAUGCAUGAUUUUCAGGUUAAAUGGGGGAUUUCGGAAGAGAAAAUGCGUGUUGUUUGAGAUAAACGGGGGAUUUUUGUAGAGCGAAUGCAUGAUUUUCGGGUUAAAUGGGGGACCUUCCAAGGGAAAAGGCGUGAUUUUCACGUUAAAUGGGGGAUUUUCCAAGAGAAAAUGUGUAAUUUCCAGGUUAAAUGAGGGAUUUUGGAAGAGAAAAUGUGUGAGUUUUGGUUAAAUGGGGGGUUUUCCAGAGAAAAUGCAUGACUUUCUGUUAAAUGGAGGAUUUUUGUGGUGAAAAUGCGUGGUGUUCAGGUUAAAGCAGGGAUUUUCGAUGAGAAAAUACAUGAUUUUGGGGUUAAAUGUGUUUGUUUGUUUGUUUGUUUGUUGUUUGUUUGUUUGUUUGUUUGUUUUUAAGAGAAAACUUGUGAUUUUUGAUAAAUUAUGUAUUUUUGAAGUGAAAAUGCGUGAUUUUCAGGUUAGAUCAGGGAUUCUUGAAGAGAAAAUGCAUCAUUGUCGGGUUACAUGGGGGAUUUCCAAAGAGAAAUAGCCUUUUUUUUCUGGUUAAAUGGGGGAUUUUUGAAGAGAAAAUGAGUGAUUUUCAGAUUAAAUGGGGAUUCUUGAAGGGAAAAUGUGUGAUUUUCGGGUUAAAUGGGGGAUUCUCGAAGAGAAAAUGGGUGAUUUUCGGGUUUAAACUGCUAUUUUUGUAGAGAAUAUGCAUGAUUUUUGGUUUAAAAGAGGGAUUCUCAAAGAGAAAAUGCAUUAUUUUUGUUUAAAUGGGGUAUUUUUGAAGGGAAAAUGUGUGAUUUUCAG
ensembl:lncRNA